CAUGCAGGUUCCACUCAGUGAGAUGUGUAGAGAGUGAGAUGAUAAAGGUAUCUUACUCUCUGAUCAUUAAGGAAACAUUCAGUGAGAUGUGUAGAGAGUGAGAUGAUAAAGGUAUCUUACUAUCUGAUCAUUAAGGAAACAUUCAGUGAGAUGUGUAGAGAGUGAGAUGAUAAAGGUAUCUUACUAUCUGAUCAUUAAUGAAACAUGUUGAAGUGCUGGCUUCUCUGACAACAAUGCAGCAGCCAGUAUGUCCUCCUUCUAACUUUAGAUUCUGCUCCUGAAUGCUCUGGAUUUGUUUGGACCAGAGAAGGUAGGCGGUUUUAAGGCGACCCCUCACACACGGCCGUUUUGGACGCCCCUCGGUUUGUCAGAUAUGAGAGCAGUUAUCAGGUCAACAGGUGUUGCAGCGAUGGAAGCGGGCAAGAGAAGUGGUUCAGAUAGAAGUGAUUGUACCCGACCUAAAAAGCCUCUGCAUGUUUCUAAUAAGCUCCACGAGCAGAAACGUGCCAUGUCCAGUUUAGUUUGAUAUCUCUGUAUCUUUUAACUUCUCUUAACCGCUGUCUCCAUGUCUUCUUUUAACGUCUUCUAUGUCAACCUCAUUCAUGCCAUAAGCUCCACCAUGAGGAGUGACGCUGUGAGCCCAAUUAGCAGAGAAUUCUGUUUAGAGCGCCUUGCUUUCUAAAUGUAAGUGUCAACAGCAAUUCAAUCAUUUUAGGGUAAAUUUUCAAUUAUUUUAAUUUAAAUGAAAAAAAUACAGCACAGAAUUUAAUUAGCACAAUAAAAAAAUAUAUAAAAUGUACCCUUUCAUUUUAGGGUAAAUUUUCAUUUACAAUCAUUUUGUCCUUCCUCUCGUCAAUACGGUGAAUCAGACAUUAUUUCAACUCUGUUUAAAGUAGUUAAUCCAACAGAAGCUGUGCAGCUGGUCACGCACGCCGCAGUAAAAGGCGAGGACAGAGUCCAAAGCGGUCGUGUUGAAGGCCCGAGGCCAAACACUGUCGUCCCUCAGCUCCAUCACAUCUCCACUCAGCUGCACGGAGCAUUGUGUUAAAAAUAAAUUAAAAAAACACACCGCCUCGGCUGAAACGCGGUGACCAGGAGGAAACAACACGCACUCUCCCUGACC